rnacentral:rRNA from 1 species
GGGUUGUGAGGUUAAGCGACUAAGCGUACACGGUGGAUGCCCUGGCAGUCAGAGGCGAUGAAGGACGUGCUAAUCUGCGAUAAGCGUCGGUAAGGUGAUAUGAACCGUUAUAACCGGCGAUUUCCGAAUGGGGAAACCCAGUGUGAUUCGUCACACUAUCAUUAACUGAAUCCAUAGGUUAAUGAGGCGAACCGGGGGAACUGAAACAUCUAAGUACCCCGAGGAAAAGAAAUCAACCGAGAUUCCCCCAGUAGCGGCGAGCGAACGGGGAGCAGCCCAGAGCCUGAAUCAGUGUGUGUGUUAGUGGAAGCGUCUGGAAAGGCGUGCGAUACAGGGUGACAGCCCCGUACACAAAAAUGCACAUACUGUGAGCUCGAUGAGUAGGGCGGGACACGUGGUAUCCUGUCUGAAUAUGGGGGGACCAUCCUCCAAGGCUAAAUACUCCUGACUGACCGAUAGUGAACCAGUACCGUGAGGGAAAGGCGAAAAGAACCCCGGCGAGGGGAGUGAAAAAGAACCUGAAACCGUGUACGUACAAGCAGUGGGAGCACGCUUAGGCGUGUGACUGCGUACCUUUUGUAUAAUGGGUCAGCGACUUAUAUUCUGUAGCAAGGUUAACCGAAUAGGGGAGCCGAAGGGAAACCGAGUCUUAACUGGGCGUUAAGUUGCAGGGUAUAGACCCGAAACCCGGUGAUCUAGCCAUGGGCAGGUUGAAGGUUGGGUAACACUAACUGGAGGACCGAACCGACUAAUGUUGAAAAAUUAGCGGAUGACUUGUGGCUGGGGGUGAAAGGCCAAUCAAACCGGGAGAUAGCUGGUUCUCCCCGAAAGCUAUUUAGGUAGCGCCUCGUGAAUUCAUCUCCGGGGGUAGAGCACUGUUUCGGCAAGGGGGUCAUCCCGACUUACCAACCCGAUGCAAACUGCGAAUACCGGAGAAUGUUAUUACGGGAGACACACGGCGGGUGCUAACGUCCGUCGUGAAGAGGGAAACAACCCAGACCGCCAGCUAAGGUCCCAAAGUCAUGGUUAAGUGGGAAACGAU